UUUUGGGGCAGUUUUGGGGUAUUUUUGGGGCUAUUUUGGGUCAGUUUUGGGUGGUUUCGGUGUCUCUGAUGCCGGGCUGUCCCCCCUGCCCCAGGAGCUGCUCUCGGUGCUCGGGGCGGCCCUGGGGGGGUCCCUGGCCGCCGCCCCUCCCCCCUCGCGGCACCGGCGGCUCUCGGCGCUGCUGCGGGCGGGGAAGGGGCUGGCCCGGGGCGCGGGGACGCGGCUGCCGCCGGGGACGGUCACCAAUGUCACCGUGGGACCGGCAGCGCUGUCCCUGGCCGUGUCCCGGGGCGCCCCGCCCCUGUCACCCUGGGGGUCCCUGGGGUGACGCUCGAGGUCCCCCCCGAGGUGGCCCUGGACGAGGAGAGCGGUGUGUCCCUGGUGGGGCUGCUGACCCUGGGGGGGCUCCCCGAGGCUCUCUCGGGGGCUCCCCGCGUGCUCUGGGGGGGCUGGGGGGGGUCCGUGCCCCGCCCCCGCCGGGGCCGCCCCUUCCCCUCGUACCGGGUCCUGUCCCCGGUGGGCGCCUUGGCCGUGGCCCUUGGCGGCGCCCGGCGGGCGCGUCACGCUGGCUUCCGGCACCGGCAGCCGGUGAGUGCGGCCGGAACCGCGGGGACAUCGUAAAAA
rnacentral:lncRNA from 1 species